AGUGAACGCUGGCGGUAGGCCUAACACAUGCAAGUCGAGCGGCAGCACAGUAAGAGCUUGCUCUUACGGGUGGCGAGUGGCGGACGGGUGAGGAAUACAUCGGAAUCUACUUUUUCGUGGGGGAUAACGUAGGGAAACUUACGCUAAUACCGCAUACGACCUACGGGUGAAAGCAGGGGAUCUUCGGACCUUGCGCGAUUGAAUGAGCCGAUGUCGGAUUAGCUAGUUGGCGGGGUAAAGGCCCACCAAGGCGACGAUCCGUAGCUGGUCUGAGAGGAUGAUCAGCCACACUGGAACUGAGACACGGUCCAGACUCCUACGGGAGGCAGCAGUGGGGAAUAUUGGACAAUGGGCGCAAGCCUGAUCCAGCCAUACCGCGUGGGUGAAGAAGGCCUUCGGGUUGUAAAGCCCUUUUGUUGGGAAAGAAAAGCAGCAGGUUAAUACCCCGCUGUUCUGACGGUACCCAAGGAAUAAGCACCGGCUAACUUCGUG
rnacentral:rRNA from 1 species